GUGGUAAUUUUGUAAUUUGUGGUGACUCUCGUCUUCUAUAAACAAAGCCAUUUUCCUCCAUUUCGACCUUGGAAGAAGAAAAUCAUUUAUCUGUCUGUUCUGAAAACCCUAGUCCAUAUUCAAAUUUCCAUCGCGUUGGAUUUUCAAGGAUGGCACUGACAGAUGCCGAAGCCCCCUUUAGGCCCAGAGAGCUUCUUCUAGAGAAGCAAAAGCUUUUCCAGAGCAUUCAAAAACACACACAUCUCAAAGGGAGAUAUGAUAAGCUCACUUCGGUCGCUAUCCCACUUGGAUUGGCAAUUGCUUGCGGAGGCAUGAUUGCUCAAGGGAUUUACAAUAUGUCUCAUGGGAUUGGGAAGAAGGAAUGAAGAUACAUAUCCUUGUCUGGCAGGAAAGACAUUGCUUGGUGCUGAAGAACUUCAUGUGCAUUUGGAUUGCAAUGUAGAUUUUUUUUAAUGUUUUGUUGAUUUCAUAUCCAAAUAAUGACAUGGUGUUGAACUACAAAUGCGAAUCAAAUUUAUGUCUUGUUGGUGUUUUUGGAUGCCCCAUAGGGCUCAUCAUACAUUUACAUGAUUAAGAAUGUUUGUUGAUCAGUUUUUGUGAAUGAGGCAAUCUUUACUUGCUAUUUCAGCAA